GACUACCGGGGUAUCUAAUCCUGUUUGCUCCCCACGCUUUCGCGCCUCAGCGUCAGUAUCGGGCCAGUGAGUCGCCUUCGCCACUGGUGUUCCGCCGAAUAUCUACGAAUUUCACCUCUACACUCGGCAUUCCACUCACCUCUCCCGAACUCAAGAUAGCCAGUAUCAAAGGCAAUUCCAAGGUUGAGCCCUGGGCUUUCACCUCUGACUAAACUAUCCGCCUACGCGCCCUUUACGCCCAGUAAUUCCGAGCAACGCUAGCCCCCUUCGUAUUACCGCGGCUGCUGGCACGAAGUUAGCCGGGGCUUCUUCUCCGGGUACCGUCAUUAUCUUCCCCGGUGAAAGAAUUUUACAAUCCUAAGACCUUCAUCAUUCACGCGGCAUGGCUGCGUCAGGCUUUCGCCCAUUGCGCAAGAUUCCCCACUGCAGCCGCCCGUAGG
rnacentral:rRNA from 1 species